AACGAACGCUGGCGGCAGGCUUAACACAUGCAAGUCGAGCGCCCCGCAAGGGGAGCGGCAGACGGGUGAGUAACGCGUGGGAAUCUACCCAUCUCUACGGAAUAACGCAUGGAAACGUGUGCUAAUACCGUAUACGUCCUUCGGGAGAAAGAUUUAUCGGAGAUGGAUGAGCCCGCGUCGGAUUAGCUAGUUGGUGGGUAAAGGCCGACCAAGGCGACGAUCCAUAGCUGGUCUGAGAGGAUGAUCAGCCACACUGGGACUGAGACACGGCCCAGACGCCUACGGGAGGCAGCAGUGGGGAAUAUUGGACAGGGUGCGCAAGCCUGAUCCAGCCAUGCCGCGUGAGUGAUGAAGGCCCGAGGGUUGUAAAGCUCUUUCACCGGUGAAGAUAAUGACGGUAACCGGAGAAGAAGCCCCGGCUAACUUCGUGCCAGCCGCCGCAGUAACAC
rnacentral:rRNA from 1 species